rnacentral:rRNA from 1 species
AAAUUGAAGAGUUUGAUCAUGGCUCAGAUUGAACGCUGGCGGCAGGCCUAACACAUGCAAGUCGGACGGUAGCACAGAGAGCUUGCUCUUGGGUGACGAGUGGCGGACGGGUGAGUAAUGUCUGGGGAUCUGCCCGAUAGAGGGGGAUAACCACUGGAAACGGUGGCUAAUACCGCAUAACGUCGCAAGACCAAAGAGGGGGACCUUC